rnacentral:rRNA from 1 species
UACAGAGGUCCCAAGCGUUGUUCGGAUUCACUGGGCGUAAAGGGCGCGUAGGCGGUUCGCUAAGUUGAAUGUGAAAACUCUGGGCUUAACCCAGAGCCUGCAUCCAAAACUGGCGAACUGGAGUACUGGAGGGGAAAGCGGAAUUCCUGGUGUAGCGGUGAUAUGCGUAGAUAUCAGGAGGAACACCGGUGGCGAAGGCGGCUUUCUGGACAGUAACUGACGCUGAGGCGCGAAAGCCGGGGGAGCAAACAGG